rnacentral:rRNA from 1 species
GACGAACGCUGGCGGCGUGCUUAACACAUGCAAGUCGAACGGAGUGGCGAACGGGUGAGUAACACGUGGGUGAACUGCCUUGCACUUCGGGAUAAGCUUGGGAAACUGGGUCCAAUACCGGCUAGUGCAAGAUGGGCUCGGGGCCUAUCUGCUUGUUGGUGGGGUAAUGGCCUACCAAGGCGUCGACGGGUAGCCGGCCUGGGAGGGUGUACGGGGACCAUAGGACUGAGGUAGGGCGCAGACUCGUACGGGAGGCAGUGGUGGGGAAUAUUGCACAGUGGGCGGGAGCCUGAGGCAGAGGCGCCGGGUGGGUGAUGCAGUCUUGCGGGUGAGAAACGCCUUUAGACAGGGACGCGGUACCUGUAUAAGAAGCACCGGCUAACUACGUGCCAGCAGCCGCGGUAAUAC